GAUCUCUCCAACAGAACCAACUGUCACAUCCACUUCCCGGACUGCAACAAGCAGUCAGAGUGUGACAAGUCCAACUGCGUCUCCCUCUCCGGGGAGAUACCGAACAUCGAGUACGCCCGCAUCGGAAUACGGCUGCUGCAGCCGCUGGUGUUCAGCGUCACACUGCCCCACUCGCAC